GAGAGAGUGAUCUUAAGGUGCUAGGGGCAAACAGGAUUUAGAAAGAUAAGAAAUAAACAGGAAUGUAGCAUGAAUUACAAUGUAAUCACAAGUUGAAAGUGAAGUCACUCAGUCGGGUCAGACUCUUUGUGACCCCACGGACUGUAGCCUACCUGGCUUCUCCAUCCAUGGGAUUUUCCAGGCAAGAGUCCUGGAGUGGAUGGAUUGCCAUUUCCUUCUCCAGGGGAUCUUCCCUACCCAGGGAUUGAACCCGGGUCUACCACAUUGUAGGCAGAUGCUUUUAUCGUCUGAGCCAGGGAAGUUAAAUACAGUCAGUUUUGGUGGAGGAAGCUAAAAACUUCAAACCUCUGACCUAAUGCUUUUGUCAAAGUAUAAAAAAGAACCUGAAGCUUGAAAUAAACAUGUAGGUCCAUACUGUGAGUCAGAGACUACAUCAUCCCCCACUAUUCAGGUAAUUCCCUGGCUGCUGAAGCUGGACUCCGGCACUUUUACAAAGUGUGUAAUCGGAAAUGGCCAACAGAGACAAAAUUGCAGUCAAGAAAUGAAAAUGAUAAAGCUAGAGGUAAAACAUGAAUAGACGGGGUUAUAGAAGGAAUCACUGAUCAUGGGAAUGUUGCCAGUGUUGCUAUGCUAGAGCCUCUAGAUGUGCAGCUAGAGGAACUUGGUGCAAGCAGACUCAUCAUAAAUGAGGGUUGUGAUGAAAAGGAUGAACAUGUCCCAGAGGUAACAAACUUCACAUUAAAGCAAACUACAGAGAUGGUUCCCAACAUUGAAAACACAAACAAUAACAUAGUGGAAGCUAAACUUCCACAUGGAAGUAUGAAAAUUUGCAGUGGUAUAGAAAAGAUGCUUUCCCAGUGUCAUACAUUACUUAACAAAAAGGCAAGUGUGAGUAUUCAUGAUUUUUUUUACAAUGAAAUAGCACUUUAAUUCCCAGUGUUUCUGGUAUUUUAAAUUACAGUAUACUAAGUCACAUUUUUUUCAUUCUUUUACAUUUAUAACUGACACCUUGUAAUAUUUUGACAUUUUUUUCAAGGUCACACAAUGGUAAUUCUCUCCAUUAAUUAUUGAGUAUUUUGAUUGACACUAGCACCCAUGCAAAGCAAAGACUGCCUAUAGGUGAG
ensembl:lncRNA